CCAAGAUAUUCUACCUAUGGAAGAAACAUAAACAGUUUGUGAAUGAGAUAAACGGAUGCCAUAAGGAACUUCUGCUAAAGGAAAAUUUUGAGGGGCCGUCUGUCAUCGUCCCAGACCUGGAGGGGCCGCUGUAUCUGAGGGAGGACGGGAAGAAAUCGUGGAAACGUCGCUACUUCCUGCUCAGAGCUUCUGGGAUAUACUAUGUGCCUAAAGGAAAGACAAAGACAUCCAGGGACCUGGCGUGCUUCAUUCAGUUUGACAAAGUCAACAUCUACACCGCCACUGAUUACAAACAGAAAUACAAAGCACCCACUGACUUCUGCUUCAUCCUCAAGUAUGGGGCCACCCUGUACCACAACUAUCAGACAGCAGUGAGGAGAGCCUUAACCACCACCUCCACUCUGCAUGUGACCAGUCUGCCUGUCUCCAGCCCUCCCACACGUUCUACUGGGCACAUA